rnacentral:rRNA from 1 species
UACAGAGGUCCCGAGCGUUGUUCGGAAUUACUGGGCGUAAAGGGCUCGUAGGCGGCCAACUAAGUCGGAUGUGAAAUCCCCAGGCUUAACCUGGGAACUGCAUCCGAUACUGGAUGGCUUGAAUCCGGGAGAGGGAUGCGGAAUUCCAGGUGUAGCGGUGAAAUGCGUAGAUAUCUGGAGGAACACCGGUGGCGAAGGCGGCAUCCUGGACCGGCAUUGACGCUGAGGAGCGAAAGCCAGGGGAGCAAACGGG